GGUUUCUCUGUGCAGUUCAGGUUGACCUUGAGCUCACUUUGUAGCCCAGGCUGGCCUCAAACUCACAACAAUUGUCCUGCCUCAGCCUCCCGAGCGCUGGGAUUACAGGCAUGCGCCACCAUGCCCG
rnacentral:miRNA from 1 species